rnacentral:rRNA from 1 species
ACAGCAGUAGCCGCGGGAAAACCAGCACCUCGAGUGGUCAGGAGGUUUAUUGGGCCUAAAGCAUCCGUAGCCGGUUGCAUAAGUUUUCGGUUAAAUCUAUGCGCUUAACGUAUAGGCCGCCGAAAAUACUGUGCAGCUAGGGAGUGGGAGAGGUACAUGGUACUCGAUAGGAAGGGGUAAAAUCCUUUGAUCUAUUGAUGACCACCUGUGGCGAAGGCGGUGUACCAGAACACGUUCGACGGUGAGGGAUGAAAGCUGGGGGAGCAAACCGGAUUAGAUACCCGCGUAGUCCCUGUCUCUUAUAC